UAGGAGGAAAGGGACCUGUGCAGGUGGAGU
rnacentral:piRNA from 1 species